AAGUCGUAACAAGGUUUCCGUAGGUGAACCUGCGGAAGGAUCAUUAAUACGUUCUAAACAAACGUUUUAAACUCCAAAAUUUUAAUAGUGGAAAUCUAACUUCCGGAUGCAUUUGUAGGGAGGGGAAGAUUAGACCUUAAAAAAGUCUGGUUUUCUCCUUUUUGAAAAGGAAACUUCAUGCACUUCUUGUGAGUGUGUGACACUUCAGAGUAGAGCAGUGAGGUGAAAACUUCGGUUUUGGUUUCUGAAAUACAUCUGUAUCCGGUUAUUCUCUGUUCUACAACCCCUUUUAUUAAACUAUAAACCCCAUGUGUACAACAACUUGAACUAAACAAAUUUUGUUUUCCCCUUUUUGAGGAAAUGAAGUAAAUCUGAACUUAAGAACAACUCUUAACAACGGAUAUCUUGGUUCUC
rnacentral:misc_RNA from 1 species